AUUUCGGUGGCCCUAUCCCGGCUGUUCCCGCUUCUCCGGCCGUGCAAGCUCAGAGGAGGACCAGGACGAGGAGGAAGAUUCCCGGGCGCAGAUCCGGAUGCUCGCUGCUCCCCGGAGCUGCACUGCACUCGCUCUGAAAAUUCGCUAAGAUGAUAGGAGCCUCCACGAAUGUUUCAUAUUCUUCCUGGGUGAUCUGAGAAACAUGACCUCGAAGAAAAUUCAGCCGGGCUUGUGCUCUGAUGCCUCUGCACCCACCUCUUUGGAGGCUGAAGCAGGAGGAUCGCGAAUUCCAGGCCAAAUCACAAGACCCUGUCUCAGGAGGGCCCCCCCCCACACUCCCUGUGGGGAAAAGUAUGAUGUGGUAACACUCCAUCGUGUGGAAGAAGGUAUUUUUGUGGGCAUUUCUGCUUGUUCUGACUUCCUUUCCUGUUCCGGUUGAUUUCAUUUGGAGAACUUACCUUUCUCCCCUCCGUCAGUGGUCAGGGCGGGACGAAGGGAGGGAAAGCGUCUGUGAGUUAGGCCUCUCUGGCUGUCCCUGCCGUCUCUUUUCCAGUGCAUUUGAAAAUCAAGAAGAAUGGGACCAUCUUUCCUUGCAUGAAUAAUGAAGAAGUCACCAGCGGUGGGGCAGAGAUUCAAAGAUGGAGAUUUGGCCGAGAGACAUUGCUUGCCUUAAAAUCAAUGUGGACCAGAUUCCUCGGGAACUUUUAAUCAAUAAAAACUUGGUUGUGUUUGUCUUAUUGCUUA